GAAUCCCCGCCUCACCGCCAUUAGUACUCGGCUACGAACCGAGCGGUCGGAGGUUCGAAUCCUCCCGGAUGCACCA
rnacentral:tRNA from 1 species